ensembl:snoRNA Small nucleolar RNA SNORA14
CAGCAUCCUUUGUAAACCCCCUAGUUGCCAUUUGUGGUCUCUGGGACAUGAAAGGGUGCAAGAUCAACGUUAGAAUUAUCCAAAGCUGAGAGCCAUGUGUCAGUAGCUAUUGGCUAUUUCACCUCUAAGACAGAA